ACCCCCCGCUAAACUUCCUGUAGCAGAUAAUCCGGCAAAAAUAGGAACUAAUGGUAGAAAUCCACCGGUUUUAGGUACAGGUAUCACUCUCGGUAACGGUACGGGUAAGACUGUCAACACUUGAGAGCAAUCAUGAUAAAUAUAAUGGACCAGUUACUAAACUGCUUGAACUUAAUCCAUAAAUGUUGAUACUGAUGUUAUUAUUAGCUUCAAACAAUUGUA